CCCUUCCAUAUCCCAAUAAUGAAGCCAAGGCUUAAACAUGCAAGUCGUGGGAUGUUGAAGCAUUGAGGACAAAGAUAUAGGUUAGUAGAGAUCUGUUUCAGAUGAAUGAAGGAAUAAGUUUCAGCAUCACAAAAUUGUUAUUUAGCUGAUGCCUUAAAGGAGAAGGUAUCGCUUCCACCACCAACAACCCACUGUGCCUCUGUUAUUUUGAUGUGUGAAAUUUGAUUUGGUCUA
rnacentral:misc_RNA from 1 species